UCUCCGUUGGUGAAUCAGCGGAGGGAUCAUUACCGAGUUUACAACUCCCAAACCCCAUGUGAACCUUACCAAACGUUGCUUCGGCGGGAUGCCCCGGGCGCGGGCCGCAAGGCCUCAGCCCCGGAACCAGGCGCCCGCCGGAGGCCCAAACCAAACUCUUGUUUUUGUAGAAUCUUCUGAGUGGCCUUUUAGGCAAAAAAUGAAUCAAAACUUUCAACAACGGAUCUCUUGGUUCUG
rnacentral:misc_RNA from 1 species